rnacentral:rRNA from 1 species
UACGGAGGGAGCUAGCGUUGUUCGGAAUUUCUGGGCGUAAAGCGCGCGUAGGCGGCUUUGUAAGUUAGAGGUGAAAGCCCGGAGCUCAACUCCGGAACUGCCUUUAAAACUGCAUCGCUUGAAUCCAGGAGAGGUGAGUGGAAUUCCGAGUGUAGAGGUGAAAUUCGUAGAUAUUCGGAAGAACACCAGUGGCGAAGGCGGCUCACUGGACUGGUAUUGACGCUGAGGUGCGAAAGCGUGGGGAGCAAACAGG